UCUUUCGGCCGGGGGAUCACGCUGUCGCGUCGUCGACGGGAGGAGGUCAGGCAGAUCGACAAGAGGAGGCCAGGCGGAUUGACAGGAGGAGGCCAGCCGGCGGAGGCGCACCAUCACCACCGGCUGGCACAGCGACGGGAGGAGGCCAGGUGAUGCGCGCCAUGUACACCGGCUGCACCCUGGGCGUCCCCAACAUGCUCAAGGGGAUUGUCCAAGCGGGGGUCAGGCUGUGCGCGCGGCCGAGGAGCGCCUGCAGCAGGCGCUCGAUGCGGCGCUCCCCCGUCACUCCUCCUUCCACGUCUACUGCAGAUGCUUCCCCAUCGCUCCUCCUUCUCCUUCAUUGCCAGGAGGGGCUCGACUGCAGUUCUACUACAUGAGGUGAACCUCUUGUGUUGGGCUCGAAGGUUGCUGAGCGUUAGCCUGGCUUGUAAGUGGAUGCUCCACUGCUCUGAGUCCAAGAUACUGUAGGAAAGUCCAGCUUAUCCAGAGGCACCAACUGGGAGAGGUACAACAUAUGCAUUUCAAAGAGAACUGGACUCUGCUAUUUCCAACUUCACCAAGGCUAUACAAUCAAAUCCAUCAGCUGGGGAGGCGUGGAAGUAGCGGGACAAGCUCGCGCUGCUUUAGGAGAGUUCGUCGAGGCAACCUUGCUAUAUUUGUGCUGAUGACUUGGAUAAAGCAUUGGAAUUUGAACCAAAUUCUCCUGAUAUUUUACACGAAAGGGAUUAAUUUUGUACAGUCAAAUCUCAUCUCGCCUAAUGUCAUUUCUCACAUAUCUUUUGAUGAAAACGAAAGAACAGUAGGACUCAAUGAUCAAUUCAUGUUGUUUUGCAUUUCAGUAGUAAAGCGUUAUAGGUAGGUUGUUAGAGCACACUCUGAAUUCCACCAAUUUCUUUCCAUGGCUUAUAUGUGACCAAAUGCUCUGGAUGAUAUAUGAAGUCCUUCUGUUUACACAAUCUUAACUGUUUCCUGUGAGGCAACUACUAAGAGUGACGAGUACCAUUGCUUAGCAGUUGUGCUUGAGUCAUUGGUAUGAUAGAAGCAUUACAUAGUGCAUUGGUGAUGAAACUGUUGUUUUCUCAAACUGGUAAUAUUGAUCUGUUCUCUUGAAUGAUGUAAAGUUAAUGGAUUGCUAUGCCAGCAUUAGUUUGAUUUAUAGUAGGUUCGUAUGCAUGUAUAUAUUUAUGUAUUUCCUUUUUAUCAAUUUUUUAGUGAUGCUUAGUGUAGUAUUCCAUUUACAUAACCAAAUGUUACUUUAUGAUUUGAUUAUUUGGGGUGGACAAAGCAAUGACUCGUUUGCAUGCUACGCUCACGAUGGCUGUAAGGAUAUAGCUCCUUAUAUUUGUGUAUGUAUAAACUGGAAUGUCAUGUAUAUAAUUAGAGUAUGGAUUUAGGUUUAAUGCUAGAUUUCUAUUCAUAAUCAGUAGACUAUAAAACAUGUAGAACAAAUCUUCCAUAACAUUUUGUUGUACAUUAUGAGUGGAUAAAGAUUUGUAAUGGAUGAAGUAGUUCUGAAAAUCAAGCUUCACAGGGAACUGUUGUACACUUAAACAAGCGAGAGUGUUUUAUCUUAGUGGCGACAUGUUGCUGGUACCCACAUGGUUCUUAUUUCUUUUUUAUCUUCUAUGCAGCCUUUUUCUAUUCAGCAAACCAAAGAUUUAUUAUUUUCAAGCUCUUUUAAGGAUAUAGAUGAUGAUGUAGUUGUUGAAGCUUGCUCUGUUCACGAGAGUUUCUCCAUGCUUAUGAAGAAAAUAGUUGGGUUCGGAGCACCUUCGAUUGGUAUGCAGGUUACCCAAUGACUGUAUCUCUUCGUUGUCUUCUUUCUGGUAGAGGCAAAAGGGUGAUGAUUGCAACAUGUGGAUGGAUUCUUAUGGUUCUCAGCAGCAAGAUGACCAGCCACAACCUGGAGGUGGAUAAAUUGGUUAAAAAAACAUACACCCUCGGUUAGUUCCUCCGUUAUGCGGAGGAGAGAGGCAUGCUGAACAAGCAUGGUGGAUAGAUAGAUGUAAGUGAUCUUUAAUGCGAUUCUAAUUUUGUUGGUUAUUUCAUUUUAAGGGUGCUAAAAUUUUCUUGGAAAUUACUUAGUGAAUUCCCUGUACUCAGCUCUGUAGCUAUUUUCGGUCUCAUUCUUCUUGCCUUUGUAUCCAUUGUAACUUGUCGAUGUUAUGGUUUUCGAUGAGUUCAAUUUUCUUCUUUGCCAAAGACGAGUUAUUGUUGGAUAAUUUGCAUGUCAUGGUGGACAUAAGUUAUAAACUGCAAAGGAGAGCUACUAAUCUUAUUAUAGGUGUGGUACACGUUACAGCUCUUCAGUGCUUGCUGCACCCAUAUAUUUUUAGAGCAGAGGAGAUGAUACAUCAUAUAGUUUGGUCAUGAGGUUUAUUUUUUACCACUGGCUAUGUAGGUUUUGUGCUGGAAUGCUUUCCAUACACAACUAUUAGUUAUCCUUAAUUAUGUUUUGCACCUUCCUAGCAGCUUGUGCAUUGCAGAAUUUUGAAAUUAGCAAGAAUUUUACCUCUCCGGACUGAAUAAUUAGAUGGCUUGGCACUAUGUUCAUAUCUGAUUGUGCGAUGUGUGAUGUUAAGUUGUAGCCCUUCGUAUACUUUCUUUUUCUCUUUGCUUCCUUCAUAUUUUCCUGUAAAUUAACUAGAAGGUUUAUAUUUUAUCAAAUGCAUGGGCACUUGUCGUUGCAACAAGAGUUCCCACCAAAUUAGAUUAGAAGUUUUUUAAACAGAUUCCUAUAUUUUGAAGUAGUUAUGCUCAUCUCAUAGCUUAGAUGGAUCAUGUCUUAUUUUGUAAUGUACUUCAUCGUGUCUCAAGCUUUAUGUUCUUAAUGGUGAGACAUGC